AACUAACUACCCCCUUCUAGGGGAAUAAAAACUGUUGUAUCCAGAGAGAAUGGGGGAGGCACAUUAAAAGCCAAGUAAUCUUCUCCCUUGGAUUGUAAGUGGUGUUGUCCAGGUUCAGCAAUUUAUAGGCAAAAGCUGUGUGUAAUAGACUGGAAGACUUCAGAGAAACCAAAGCCAUAUAUACGAGACACGUUUGAUAAUCCACUGCAAAUUGCAGCUUAUAUUGGAGCAAUAAAUCAUGACAAUAAUUAUAAUUUUCAGGUCAACUGUGGUCUCAUAGUGGUGGCGUACAAAGAUGGUUCCCCAGCCCAUAUGCAUUUCAUGGACACAGAUCUUUGUUUGCACUUCUGGAAUAAGUGGCUGCUAAGCUUAGAAGAAUAUAAAAAGAAGAAGGAGGAGGAGAAACAGCAAUGACAACAGGACAUGGCAGUGACAUGUUUUGUUUAAGGUCCCGCAUUUAAAGUCUACUGCCCCUGCAUACACCUCGACCUGAUGUGAAUGAAAUACAAUAUGCAGAAAGGGAGGAACAUCUCAUCUGUACUUUAUAGGUGGCGCCUACAGACAGCGGAUCCAACCACUUGCAAUAUGAGAGCCUGCAGUGGCAGACACAGGUUGCUAGAAAUUCGGCUACCCUCUAUGCACUUGUAUGAAACAUUUAGAGGAUUUGUACAGGCAUACUUAUCAAUGGGUGAAUUCUCAGUUUAACCCUUUGACCAGUAAAUAGAAAGCUGCUGGACAGUGGCGGUCUCUAUUUUUACUGUUGGAUAAAUGUCCUUAUUGUAAGUAAUUCAGUGUAUAAGUCACCAUGUCACCUAGACGUAAAAAAUAAAAGCUACAUGGUAAUCUAUUUUGUAUGCAUUUUUAUGAACUUUGAUUUACUUAACCUUUAUUUUUAUGUAUAUUGCCUAUAAGAACCCAUUUCCCAAUUGUCUAACUACGGCUGCAGAUUUCACAGUUCCCUCUGAUUGUGAUUCGCUGUUCAAGAAAGUGAAGGCAUAUAUUCGUGGCAUAUUGUUCUAUAACUACAUCAAGCUAGUGGCUGCAGAAUGUGCUGGAACUUUAUACAUACAUUUUAAAAAUAAUGAUACCCUAAUGUUUUCCUGUUAAUUAAUUCAGCGUAAUAACUGUUGAACAGUAAAAGAUAUUUUACUAAAA